GAUGAAGAACGCAGUGAAAUGCGAUAAGUAGUGUGAAUUGCAGAAUUCAGUGAAUCAUCGAAUCUUUGAACGCACAUUGCGCCCCUUGGUAUUCCAUGGGGCAUGCCUGUUCGAGCGUCAUUUGUACCUUCAAGCUUUGCUUGGUGUUGGGUGUUUGUCUCGCCUCUGCGUGUAGACUCGCCUCAAAACAAUUGGCAGCCGGCGUAUUGAUUUCGGAGCGCAGUACAUCUCGCGCUUUGCACUCAUAACGACGACGUCCAAAAGUACAUUUUUACACUCUUGACCUCGGAUCAGGUAGGGAUACCCGCUGAACUUAAGCAUAUCAAUAAGCGGAGGA
rnacentral:misc_RNA from 1 species